UACGUAGGUGGCAAGCGUUGUCCGGAUUUACUGGGCGUAAAGAGCGCGCAGGCGGUCGGCCAAGUCGAGUGUGAAAGCCCCCGGCUCAACUGGGGAGGGUCAUUCGAUACUGGUCGACUCGAAGGCAGGAGAGGGAAGCGGAAUUCCCGGUGUAGUGGUGAAAUGCGUAGAGUAUCGGGAGGAACACCAGUGGCGAAGGCGGCUUCCUGGCCUGUUCUUGACG
rnacentral:rRNA from 1 species